rnacentral:rRNA from 1 species
AUUGAACGCUGGCGGCAGGCCUAACACAUGCAAGUCGAACGAGUGGCGGACGGGUGAGUAAUGUCUGGGAAACUGCCUGAUGGAGGGGGAUAACUACUGGAAACGGUAGCUAAUACCGCAUACCAUCGGAUGUGCCCAGAUGGGAUUAGCCAGUAGGUGGGGUAAAGGCUCACCUAGGCGACGAUCCCUAGCUGGUCUGGGAGGAUGACCAGGCCAACUGGAACGUGGACACGGCCCAGACGCGUACGGGAGGCAGCGGUGGGUAAUAUUGCACGAUGGGCGCAAGCCUGAUGCACCCAGGCCGCGUGUAUGAAGAAGGACUUCGGGUUGUAAGGUACUGGCAGCGGGGAGGCGUUACCCGCAGAAUAAGCCCCGGCUAACUCCGUGCCAGCAGCCGCGGUAAUAC